rnacentral:rRNA from 1 species
GACGAACGCUGGCGGCGUGCCUAAUACAUGCAAGUAGAACGCACAGUUUAUACCGUAGCUUGCUACACCAUAGACUGUGAGUUGCGAACGGGUGAGUAACGCGUAGGUAACCUGCCUGGUAGCGGGGGAUAACUAUUGGAAACGAUAGCUAAUACCGCAUAAUAUUAAUUAUUGCAUGAUAAUUAAUUGAAAGGUGCAAUUGCACCACUACCAGAUGGACCUGCGUUGUAUCAGCUAGUAGGUGAGGUAACGGCUCACCUAGGCGACGAUACAUAGCCGACCUGAGAGGGUGAUCGGCCACACUGGGACUGAGACACGGCCCAGACUCCUACGGGAGGCAGCAGUAGGGAAUCUUCGGCAAUGGACGAAAGUCUGACCGAGCAACGCCGCGUGAGUGAAGAAGGUUUUCGGAUCGUAAAGCUCUGUUGUAAGAGAAGAACGGGUGUGAGAGUGGAAAGUUCACACUGUGACGGUAUCUUACCAGAAAGGGACGGCUAACUACGUG